CUUUGGGGGCUCCCCGAGGGUGCUAAUAAUCCUACAAUGAUUAGCAGGGGCCACAGGGUCAGUGCACACUGCUCUGCUUGCUGUUGUGGAGCAGACACGGAAGCUGGAGGCAGGCGGCAUUCAGAAGGGCUCUAUGUCUCCAUUGAAGCCGGUGCACCACUGAGGGGAGGCUGUUUGGACACAAUGAUGACUCACUAGCCUCCUCCUUUUGUCUGGCAGCUUAGCCUGACUCCUUCAGACUGUGAAUAGCUUCAGGAAGCCUGGGAAGUUAGUUGGAAUGCUGAGAGAAGCCAUGUCUGCAGCACCAGGCAGGCCAAGGAUUCAUCCAGAGCUCUCCCUGGGUCGGGGAGGCCAGAGCCAAUGGCUUGGUCUCCUGCUUCUGCUCCUGUCUCUCCUUGGCAUCACCUGCACAGAGGUGCCAGCACCCCAAAUGCCAGAACCAGUUCCAGCUCUCCAAGCCCUGAGCAGGAAGGAGAGUUUCUUAAUCCUCUCCCUACACAACCGUCUGCGCAGCCAAGUCCAGCCUCCUGCAGCCAACAUGCAGAGAAUGGACUGGAGUGAGAGCCUGGCCCAAGCAGCUCAAGCCAGAGCAGCCCUCUGUGGCACUUCAGUCACCCCGGACCUGGUAUCUGCCCCACAGCACAUCCCGCAAGUGGGCUGGAAUGUGCAGCUAUUGCCUGUGGGCUCAGCAUCCUUUGUCGAAGUGGUCAACCUCUGGUUCGCUGAAGGACUUCAGUAUAGACAUGGGGAUGCUGAGUGUGCCCACAACGCCACCUGUACACACUACACACAGCUUGUGUGGGCCACCUCCAGCCAGCUGGGCUGUGGGAGGCAUCUGUGCUCUGUGGACCAGGCAGCCAUGGAAGCCUUUGUCUGUGUCUACUCCCCCGGAGGCAACUGGGAUGUCAACGGGAAGACGAUCGCCCCGUAUAAGAAAGGCCCCUGGUGUUCGCUCUGCACAGCCAGCGUCUCCGGCUGCUUCAAAGCCUGGGAUCACGCAGGGGGCCUCUGUGAGGUUCCCAGAAACCCAUGUCGCGUGAGCUGCAGAAAUCAUGGCCAUCUCAACAUUAGCACUUGUCACUGUCACUGUCCCCCGGGCUACACAGGGAGGUACUGCCAAGUGAGGUGCAGUGUGCAGUGUGUGCAUGGCCGAUUCCGGGAAGAAGAAUGUUCCUGCAUCUGUGAUGUCGGCUAUGGGGGAGCCCAGUGUGCCACCAAGGUGCACUUUCCUUUUCACACCUGUGACCUGAGGAUUGAUGGAGACUGCUUCAUGGUGUCUUCCGAGGCAGACACCUAUUACGGAGCCAAGAUGAAAUGUCAGGGAAAAGGUGGGGUACUAGCCCAGAUCGAGAGCCAGAAAGUACAAGACAUCCUUGCCUUCUACCUGGGCCGCCUGGAGACCACCAACGAAGUGACUGACAGUGACUUUGAGACCAGGAAUUUCUGGAUUGGUCUCACCUACAAGGCAGCUAAAGACUCCUUCCGCUGGACUACUGGAGAACACCGGUCCUUCACCAGUUUUGCCUUUGGGCAGCCUGACAACCAGGGGGAAGCCUGGACCCAGCUGAUGCAGACACGGGGCCGAGCUGUUCUGUACAGAGAACAUUCUGGCUAUGUGGCAUCGCCCUGGUCUUCAAAGCCCAGGAGUGCCAUGACAGGGACAGAGGUGGUUUGGGAACUGUGUGGAGAUGCAGGCAUCUGCUGCCUUCAACUGGAAUGACCAACGCUGUAAAACUAGGAACCGUUACAUCUGUCAGUUUGCUAAGAAGCACAUCUCCCUGUGGGAGCCAGGGCCCUGAGCCUGGCCAGGCAGCUCUCCCGCCAGCCCCUGAGUGCACAAGUUAGUUUGUCUGACUGCUCACCUGUGUGAAACCAGGGCUGGGCUGGAACUGAAUAUACCACAUCUAAAGAGGCCUCAGAACUUGCACAAUGCUGGACACUGGACUGAACAUGGCUGGAGAGUCCAGGCCAGGCUCUGCCCAUCCAGGCCAGAAGAGGACACAGGACACGGCCAUCUUCCAGUGAGUCCAUCCUGUCAGCAAGGGAGACUGAUCAUCCACUUGUUUGAGAUGGAAAAGGGAAUCUAGAUUCCCUAAGUGUGCUGCCCACUCUGCAACUCAGGCUGCUCAAUUCUGUGACUUAUUCUUGAGCCUCAGGUCUUGUCUGUUACUGAGGGAAUUGAGUCAGUGCAUUCCACCUUAUCAAGCCUACAUUACCUGACGUCUGCCAGCCUAGAGUCAGGGAGUCUUCCAAGGAGAACCUCUCCUGUGGGGAGUCAGAAAAUGUUUUUCUAGAUGUCUAGGGACAUUUCUGGAUGACAACUUGUCCUUAGCUUGGCAU